UGGGGAAUCUUGCACAAUGGGGGAAACCCUGAUGCAGCGACGCCGCGUGAACGAUGAAGCCCUUCGGGGUGUAAAGUUCUUUCGACAGGAACGAUAAUGACGGUACCUGGAGAAGAAGCUGCGGCUAACUACGUGCCAGCAGCCGCGGUAAUACGUAGGCAGCGAGCGUUGUUCGGAGUUACUGGGCGUAAAGAGUGCGUAGGCGGCGAGCCAAGUUUGGUGUGAAAUCUCCCGGCUUAACCGGGAGGGUGCGCCGAAAACUGGUUGGCUGGAGUAUGGGAGAGGAAAGCGGAAUUCCUGGUGUAGCGGUGAAAUGCGUAGAUAUCAGGAGGAACACCAGCGCUGUAGACAGCUUUCUGGACCAAAACUGACGCUGAGGCACGAAAGCGUGGGUA
rnacentral:rRNA from 1 species